GUGGGGAAUAUUGGACAAUGGGCGCAAGCCUGAUCCAGCAAUGCCGCGUGCAGGAAGAAGGCCUUCGGGUUGUAAACUGCUUUUGUACGGAACGAAACGGUCCUGGUUAAUACCUGGGGCUAAUGACGGUACCGUAAGAAUAAGCACCGGCUAACUACGUGCCAGCAGCCGCGGUAAUACGUAGGGUGCGAGCGUUAAUCGGAAUUACUGGGCGUAAAGCGUGCGCAGGCGGUGCUGUAAGACAGGCGUGAAAUCCCCGGGCUCAACCUGGGAAUUGCGCUUGUGACUGCAGUGCUGGAGUACGGCAGAGGGGGAUGGAAUUCCGCGUGUAGCAGUGAAAUGCGUAGAUAUGCGGAGGAACACCGAUGGCGAAGGCAGUCCCCUGGGCCUGUACUGACGCUCAUGCACGAAAGCGUGGGGAGCAAACAGGAUUAGAAACCCUUGUAGUCC
rnacentral:rRNA from 1 species